UGCUUGACCGAGCCGCCGCCGCCGUCCCCAUUUCCCACUCGCAACUCGCAAAACUCGAGUCUCCUCUCCACCACCGUUGGCGAUCUUGCUGGCGCGGUCUCGAGCUGUCGUUGCCGCUGAUGGACAAGGCAAGAGGCGGGGAAGGAGGCGACAAGGGUGGCCGCGGCGGGGGAAGAGGCGACAAGGGUGGCCAAGGCGGGAGCAGAGGCUACAAGGGUGGCCAAGGCGGCGUCGGCACCAGCAAGGAAGUGGUGGGGAAGAUUACUGAGGAAACAAGUGUUACCGGUGGGAAACCAAAGCAGGCCACGGGAUGGAAGCGCACGGAAAGAGAUGUUCUUAAGCUACUGAAGGAUCCUUCUGUGCUUACACAACCUUGGUCUGGCGUAGCAGUCUCUAAUUACAACUUCAAGUAUGAUGGCCUAGAUGACAAAUGGUACAGUGGGAGAAUCUUUCUCAACACCAAGGUUGAGGCUGGUGACUCUUUAACACAAACGAAUGGCAGAGAAGCACGGUUUUGGACAUUUGUGGAAGAAGACAAUGGUGUCAGUCCAUGUGAAGACUCAAUACCUUUACUCUGGAAUAUCAAACACCCAGCAAUACUGAAGCCCAUCUGUCUGACAUACAACCCUGAAAUCUAAAGGAUUGUAUAUGGGAUUGCCACAUUCAACAUGGACUUCGAUUCAUGGAUUCAGAACCACCCUGUAGUUAAUGCGGAUUACAUACCCCCUCAUUGGAAUGAAACUAUCUGUUAUGUUCUUUCUGCCAUUCGGGAGGUUGUCAAGAAGAAAUGCAAAAUAGUGGAUUUGAACAAGACUUCAAAGUUUCGUGAUGCUGGACAACAAGGUAAAGAUACUCCCAUCUCACAUUCAGAAGGGAGGAGGUGAUGAUGAUGAAAGCGACAUGCUUGUUACGUUCUCUUUUCUGCUUGAGAACUAUCUAUAUCAGAAUUGGAAGGAUGCCGAUUUGCUUGCAUUCAUUAACCUCAUGCGCAACCCAGGAACAAGAGUGAAAGACCUAGUCACUCAUCCACUGUUGCUGCCCCCAGAUCAGCGUGAGCUAUUAUAUAGAACAACAUGGACUCUUUCGUUCCAUCAGGUGACACAGCACUGCAAGGCAUCUUGCGGUUUCCAAAUGGUCCCCACGGAGUGAUAACAUACCCACUUGGCUUUGUGGGAGUUCACAAAUUCUGCCAUGAUACCUCAUCUCAUUACUUGAAAAGUUUCAGAGAAAAUUAUGUUCCAGGUCAAGUCCAGCUACCAGUAGAUCUGUUAUUGAAGAGAACCUUUCCUGGACUGAUUUCAGAAAUAUACCUUUUGACCCUCGAUCCAGACUGGGGUGAUAUUUAGGACCAGGGAUCGCACAACUGGGAGCACAAGGAGACCGAACCAACAUCUUUUUGUCUACAAUGUCAAGAACAUCUCAUCCUCUGCUUGUUAUUUUUGUCCUGGUUAACUAACAGUUCAUUCAUUUUUUGAUAUGGCAGUUCAUUGACCAAGACGAACUGCAUGAACUUUGCUGCACAUCAAUACACAGUGAUAUUCUCACUGAUCACUGGAUUGGUGGAGCAUUAGUAUGCACUAGGAUGCCAUUUGAACGUCUUAUCACUGAUAUGUUUGACGCACAGCUUGUUUCUGGCUACUUUAUCAGCUGUAAGCCUGUAACAGCUGCUGCUUGAUGUAAUAGUAGUAAGGCAUGUUAUGCUAGACAGCAGCUAAGAUUUUUUAAUGCAUAUUAAGUGCACUUUUGCUAUUUAUCAAUUGCCUGAUUUCUCUCUAAAUGAUGGUUUUUCUAUUUCAUGGGAUUUGGGUUUUUGAUUGGUUGGCAAGCUCGGAUUUUCAGUGGUUUUGGGGGUGGUGGGUGGUGAAUGUUUUGUGCUUUUUUAUUUGGCUGCAAUUUUUUGGGAGUAAACUGUGGAUGCAACAGCAAGAAGAUCAGCAGUCGUUUGCUUGCAAAUAUUUGUCUGCAGUUUUGUGAUUUGUCUGUUUGGCUGCAAUUUUGGAUUAAACUGUGGAUGCAGUAGCAGCAGUAGGAUCAGCAGCGGCUGACUGGCAGGUUGAUGGAGCUUGAGGACUCAGACGCCGACUAAUAGAGGAGCUCCUAUAGCUGCCUGAUUCCCUAUCAGCUUCCUCUUUCGAUUUUCUGUCUUCACCGCAGCAGGUUGGAUUCAUUUUUUCCUGGCCAUGAAGGCUUCGCUGCUGUCGGUGCCAUCUCAGCACCUGCUUAUUGGAGGAUUAACGUAUUUUGAUUUGGUGCAAAGCAUGGCCUGAUAUUCCUGCUGAUAUUCCUGAUCUGGAUUGGGCAUUUGGACUUGGGUUUUGUCAUUUGCAUUGCUUUGCUUGACAUAUGGAAGUUGAGCAUGCACAAGCAGCGUUUGGUACAAUUUUUUCUAUCAUACAAGGUAACCUUUUUUCGGUAGCAUGCUGUAUAGUUUUAUUUAAUGAAAUGUGCUAGUGUGGAUUCGGUGUUGUCUUCUUCUUUUUUCAUCGAAUACCCGUGAAGAACAAACUCCUUGAAUCCUCUGCUCAAUUGGACCAGUGAUGCUCAAUUUCAUAUGUUUGAAAUGUUCUGUUAAGAUUUUAUACAGUUCUUGAUCAAUUGGUCAGGUCGUAUCAAAUUCUUCUUCGGUGGUAAACUAAACCAUGUAUUGCAUACUAAAACUUAUUUUGUUUUCGUGAUAAAAUUGGCGAGUGGUUGCCAUGCGGAACCAGAUCCUCUGACGUGGACGUCCAACGGCUCUCGUCCGUCCAUUCGGCAUCGGACGGAGUAGAGUGAGCACAGCGGAUAGGCUCGGCCCAUAUGGUAGAAAAAUCAGCCCACGCGAUCCACAACCAUCGACGCCACAGCCGCCGCCGGCUAGGAAGCAAAUGGGGGAGGGGAGACCUCUGCACCGUCGGCGUCGCCGCCACCGCCACAGCCUGCGUCUCCCGCGCGAGGGCCCCUUCGUUGCCACCAUCCUCUUCUCGGCCAGCAAAAUCGGGAUGGCUCCUGAUUUCCCGUGGUCUUCGGCCGGCCGCUCACUGCCGCUCGUCGUCUCCUCCGGCGCAUCCGCGGGUGGAGUGGAUCCUGGAAGAAGCCCCUCCCCUCGUCGCUGCCCUCCUCCCCAUCUCUCGCCCCUGCGUUCUCUCUCCCUUAGCAUGUUGCUGGCUCGCUGCCGGCAGUGUACUCCUUCAAAUCAUCCCUGCAUAAAAGUUCAAGGGGACUCCUGUUAAUUCGUUAGUAGCAGCAGCAGCAGGUUAUAUACACUUAGCAGUUGUUCGAGGUUGCCGACUGAUUCCUAGUUUCAAUUUUCUUGAGGAUGAAAGUAAUAUCAUUUUCUUGAGGAUGAAAGUAAUAUCAUCACCAGAACCUACUACAAGGGCUUGCAAUGGCAGCAUCUUGAAAAUCCUAGAUCGAGAUCUAAAAUUGAUAUGAAUGGAUAUUGUAAAUUGAUGUGAAUUGGGAUUGUAAGUUUGUAACUCAACACUGAAUGUGAUGACUGAAUGCCUUUGCCAAUUGAGAUUGAUUGUUGUGUCUA